UCAGAGAAGCAGGUGAGCCUGCUUCCCGGAGGCAAAGGCAACCCUCUUCAUUUCGGAGAUGCUCAGAAGGUGCCUCCGACACGGAGCGACGGGGAGGCUCAGCCGCGAGUCCGAGGGCUGGUGUGAGCAGCCCCGGAGCAUCUGUGAUGUGCAAAGCAGAGGCUGAUGUUCCUGCAAGUGAGUGUCCUGCUCUGAAAGAGCUGCCUGCCCAGCACCAGCUGUAAAACAUGAACACCUUGUUGGAUCACACUCCAAAAUCUGAAAUGGGCAUCCUGCCAAAGCUCAGGGCUUCCUUUUUGUUUUGACUGUUGCAAUGUUCUUGUUUCUGUUAGUAUCACGUUCCUACCACUUGUGCUUUUCAGACACCUACGGCCAAACUCAGUGUAACUCCACUGAGCUCACUGAAGCUGCAACAGAAGUGAAUUUGUCUCAGUAUGUCUGUAAAUUAACCAGUCAUUUAAGCUGGAGAGUGCCAUUGAUAAGCAAUAACAGCACAGGAGUGGUGAAAGGAAGAUAUCUCCUAGUUAGUUUUGGACAGUUGACACUAACUCUGUUGUCAGAUAAGUCUUACUGACUGUGGGAAAAGCUGAGUGGGAAAAGUCACACUCGCCGCUUGCUAACCGUAGGAGGAAAACAGAUCUGGAAUGCAGAGGAAAUCUUGACAUUUAUCUGUUCCCCCAACCCCUACCAGCCAGGCAAUCAAAAUGACUAGCUGAGUAUCAGCUGCCUCUGUUCCUGGCUCAAAUAAAAGUGCUUUCUUGACAGAGUUUCUGCUCAUAGGAGAGAAAGGAAAAAGAAGGAAAGAGUCUGAAGUGGGUGUGGGGGAGUGUUUCCUGCCAAAACCCAGGAACAGCUUCUCUGUGACAUAUAAAAGAAUACUGAUGACAUAAGCCUAGUGCUGUAAACGGAGGUGGCUCUGUCAUUUCCAAAGGACAGCAAUUCAUGCCCAACAGCCCUGCAGCCCAGAACUCCACUACUUCAUUGCUCCACUUGGCCUCCACUGACAUCGUCAAGGACAGUGCGCCAGACUCUGCUAAAAGAAGGAUGAAACCCAAGGGAACAAAACCACUGGGAAGAACUUCUCUAUUCCUAUCCAAAUUGUGUUGUCUAAGAAUAAAGUGUAGCCAUUUCAAAUGAACACUUGCAGAGUAAAUUCAUUUCCUUCUGAACCCUCAUAAGACACAGGGUUUUUCAAGACCUAAGGAAGCACAGUAUACUAGACUUACAUCAAUGUAUCAUAUAUACACCACAGCAAA